UGGGUGAUGCAUUGUUGGAUGAUGAUGACGAUGAUGAUGUGGAGCUGGACCUCAUUGCUGAUGACAGUGGCGAUGACAUUGCAGCGAGUAAUCCAACUGGGGCUGGGGGUGGUUUUAGCUCUGGGACUUAGCAGUACCCUCUGCACUUUUCAUCUUUAGACUUAGAUGCCAUGAGACAGGAGGGGGUUCCUGGGGAACCCACUGGAUUUGGUGCUAGAGAUACCCAGGAGAGGAGGGAUUCUACAG